UUUAGCGACCAGUCCAGACCCACAGGCGACGUCCAGAACCUGCGCCUCCUCACGACUCCCAGAGAAGUUGGCAUUCAGGAAAUCUACCAACAUAUGUGGCUCUCUGUAUUUGAGUGUCUCCAUAUCCUGUUGAUGUAACAUGUUCAAGCUUCUACCAUGUGAGGAUUGUCUGAACUAAUGCUGAGGUGAGAUCAGAUCAGUCUCCAUCAGACCUGACGGAGAAUGAGUUUCUGACCUCCUCAUACGUCGCCGCCCAGCCGUCAAAGAACUUGGUCGUCUGCUGUGAAUCAAAACCUUUUCUGGUCUGAUAGAGGUUCCUCAGAUCGUCCAGAGUUCUGCUGCUGCCAGACAUGAUGAGGAGACGACUUCAAACCUG